rnacentral:rRNA from 1 species
UACGGAGGGUGCGAGCGUUAAUCGGAAUUACUGGGCGUAAAGCGCGCGUAGGCGGUUUGUUAAGUGGGAUGUGAAAGCCCCGGGCUUAACCUGGGAAUUGCAUUCCAAACUGGCUUACUAGAGUACGAUAGAGGGGGGUGGAAUUUCCGGUGUAGCGGUGAAAUGCGUAGAGAUCGGAAGGAACAUCAGUGGCGAAGGCGACCCCCUGGAUUGAUACUGACGCUGAGGUGCGAAAGCGUGGGGAGCAAACAGG